UACGUAGGGGGCAAGCGUUGUCCGGAAUCAUUGGGCGUAAAGAGCGUGUAGGCGGCCCGGUAAGUCCGCUGUAAAAGUCAAAGGCUUAACCUUUGAAUGUCAGUGGAUACUGCCGGGCUAGAGUCCGGAAGAGGCGAGUGGAACUCCUGGUGUAGCGGUGGAAUGCGCAGAUAUCGGAAGGAACACCAGUGGCGAAAGCGGCUUCCUGGUCCAGCACCGACGUUCAGGCACGAAAGCGUGGGGAGCAAACAGG
rnacentral:rRNA from 1 species